UGGGGAAUAUUGCGCAAUGGGGGAAACCCUGACGCAGCGACGCCGCGUGAGCGAAGAAGGCCUUAGGGUCGUAAAGCUCUGUUUUAAGGGACGAAUGUCGCGGGUAAUAAUACGAUCUGCGAAUGACGGUACCUUAAGAGGAAGCCCCGGCUAACUACGUGCCAGCAGCCGCGGUAAGACGUAGGGGGCGAGCGUUGUCCGGAAUUACUGGGCGUAAAGAGCACGUAGGCGGGAUUUUAAGUCAGGUGUGAAAGACCGUGGCUCAACCACGGGGUUGCACUUGAAACUGGGAUUCUUGAGGGCAGGAGAGGAAAGUGGAAUUCCUGGUGUAGCGGUGAAAUGCGUAGAAAUCAGGAGGAACACCGGUGGCGAAGGCGACUUUCUGGACUGACCCUGACGCUGAGGUGCGAAAGCGUGGGUAGCAAACAGG
rnacentral:rRNA from 3 species